ensembl:snoRNA
UGGCAACAGUGAUGACAGGUGUUGUAACUGGAUGUAAUGUCCCAUUACUGCAUGGAGACAACAGUCCCUCUAAACUGAUGUUGCCA